CCAAGGAGUCUAACAUGUGCGCGAGUCACUCAGUCUUGAAUAGGCUUGAGAGGCGAAAUGAAAGUGAAAGGCAUGAUCCUCGCGACUUCUUCGGGGGUCCGGGGCGCAAUGCCGUCCCGCUCAUUUGGCAAAGACCAUUUAGCGGAGAUUGAGCGUACACGUUGGCACCCGAAAGAUGGUGAACUAUGCCUGGGCAGGACGAAGCCAGAGGAAACUCUGGUGGAGGUCCGUAGCGAUUCUGACGUGCAAAUCGAUCGUCAGACCUGGGUAUAGGGGCGAAAGACUAAUCGAACCAUC
rnacentral:rRNA from 1 species